UCUGAUCCAAUGAAUGGGAAAAUAUAAUUGUAGGCGGGCUUUUUCCCUCCCAUCUAUUUUCACCAAUUCUCUGAUAAACCCCAAAUAUUGCCUCUAGUAUUGCAGCAUCUCCCCCAAAAAUCACCAACCAUACGAGACCCAUCUCCAAAAUCACCACCACAUACACCAACCAGCACCAGACGCACCCCCACCUUCAACCCUUCCCGCACCAGACGCACCCCCACCUUCAACCGCCAUCUUCAUCCGCGGCUCCGAAACCACCACCACUGGUCUUCAUCACCAACGGCCCACCAACAUCCAAAAUCGUGUUUUUACUGACAUGGACAAAGUCGCUGCUCAUCUAUGGUCAAACUGGUCAACUAUGGUCAAACUCGGCUAGAGGUUGGUUUAAUUGCUUUAGCAAAUCAUUCGGUCGCGAAGUGCUGGUUCAUCUACUACUUUUGCUCAUUUUGGAUGGAACGACAGGUCUGAAUAUGCUGCCACAAGCUGGGGAGUUCAAUGAGGUAAAACUAAAAGAAUCAGCUCAUUUCAGGAGUCAGCUACUGCCACAAUAUGAAAGUAUGUCACCAUGCCUUGAAACUGGAAAACACACUUCUAGAUGGUAGUUCAGCUCCGCAUACCAUGGCUCAAAAUAUUUUGAUUUUGGGUACUAAGGUACUUCACUAGUACACAACUCAUUUGAUGGUGCCAUGGGUUGUUUUUUUUAUGAUGCGGUGCCAUAAAAAAUCGCUUAUAUGUAAUUUCCACCAAAUUUAAAUUGUUGAGCAUCAUUUUGGCAAGACCUGCGCCUUUAAUAAUUAAAAUAACUAUUUAGUCUGUUACA